GCCAGUGUGGUUUAGUUGUCUGAGUGUUGGAUUGCAACUCUGGAGACCAGGGUUCUAUUCCCAGCUCAGCCA